ensembl:lncRNA
AGAAAGAGAAAGACAAAUACCACAUGAUAUCACUUAUAUCUGGAAUCUAACAUAGGGCACAAAUGAACCUUUCCACAGAAAAGAAAAUCAUGGACUUGAAGAAUAGACUUGUGGUUGCCAAAGGGGAGGGGGAGGGAGUGGGGUGGUUAGGGAACUUGGGGUUAAUAGAUACAAACUAUUGCCUUUGAAAUGGAUUAGCAGUGAGAUCCUGUGUAGCACUGGGAACUAUGUCUAGUCACUUAUGAUGGAGCAUGAUAAUGUGGGAAAAUAGAAUAUAUACAUGUAUGUGUAACUGGGUCAAAAUAUUAAAAACAACAACAACAACAACAAAAAAAACCUUCAACAUUUGCUAAGGUACUCUAACCUAAGUAAAAAAACAAAACAAAACAAAACAAGACAAUCAAACAACAACAAAAAAAUGAGAAACAAAAACAGAUGUCUUAAAAACACUUUUUAAAGUAAAUCCUAUACAGAUUCAUACAGCUGGAAGAGGAGGUUGAGGAGUUUUUAGGAUUGGCUUAAUCCAGUGGCCCUUGCUCUGAUUCCCAGGGUUCUGACAGACCUGCCUUCCCCAAGCUGCAGCUUUUGUUCUAGAGCUGGUUCCUAAAACAGCUUAGCUGAAACCACAUACUUUCAAGUGAUUAUGUCCCCAGGAUAGAGAAAUUGUACUUUCCUGAGGCAUUCCCUUGGAUGCAGGGAAAUUUGUCUGGGAAAUCCAGGGGAAACUUCCUGGGAUUUUAUUUGUAACCUAGAUCUUAUUCCAUUCCUAAAGCAACCCUUAUGUCCAUUAAUAAUCUUAACUAGAUUCUGGGAAAAAAAAAAAGAGGUACUCAGGAGUGAUCAUCUUUAAGAUUUAACUAUGGUUAACACCUCCUCCCCCAAUUCGUGGUAACACAGUGGUGGACAGAAAAAUAGAUUUGGAAGAUUACACCAUAAUGCCCUUUAUAAUUUCCUGUGAAAAGGAAGUGCAAGUCACAGUUUAAAUAUGAGCACAAGAAGACUUAAAUGAAGAAUAUUUUGCUCAGAGAAUAGCAAAAAAUUUUCUGCAAAUCUGUGCUAUUUCCAGAGAGGUUGAAUGACUGGCAUUGAAGACUAAUAUUUGUUUUGCCAACUAUAUUAGAUUAUGGUCCAGUGACAUAAUGUCCUUAAACCAUAAGAAAAUAAGUUGGUUUAAUAUUGGCUCCCUGGAUUUUGGGGGGUUUAUUGGCUAUAGUGUUGCAUAUUAACUGAAAGCAGUGGUAGUUUAAUUUCAUUUCCAGUGUCUAGAAAUUCUCUAAUGCAUUCAUCUUCCUGCUACUGUUAUAAAUCAAGAAGCAAUGACUUCCAUUUCUAACGACAUUUAUAUUAGCUUUAUUUUCACUCUACAGGUUCUUACAUGUUUGAUAAAAACAUGACAGAUUCUCAGAGAAGCUGAAAAUUGUUGAGAAACAAUGUUUAGGUCCUCUUUUAUUGUGCUAUAAACUGUUUAUUAUUUUGCAAAUGUCUUUGUAGUUUGAAGCAAGAGUUGUAGCUCCUAAUUCUGCAUUUGACUAUAUCCUCAAAGGUCUCCUCUGAGUAUUCUACUGUAACACUGAAAUUCUUCAUAUGAAGUAGAUUUGUAUUUUCAUGAUAAGAUCUGCCUGUUUCUGGAAUAUGGUAAGAAAGAAAAACGCUUUCUUUGGAGAAAUUAUUUACAUCCUUAUGGUCCUGUAUCAAUGCAUUAGUAUGUACAGUGCAGAUGUUUAGAGCCGCGAGUGUUUACGACCUUGGGGAGAAGAUGAAAAACAGGGACCAAGAAGAUAUUCCAGUAUUCGGUGAUUUCACCUGGACUCUGAAGGUCUUCAGGAUAUUCCUUGCAGAGCUGUAGAAUGGAAAAAAAAAUGUUGAGCUCUUAAUUUUAUACACACACACACACACACACACACAUCUAUCUAUCUAUCUAUCUAUCUAUCUAUCUAUCUAUCUAUCUAUCUAUAUGUAUGUAUAUACACACAUGGAAGUAUAUACAUCUAGUGAGGGAUCACUCAUUUUCUCUCAUUUGUCUAGCCUGUCACCCUGAUCCUGUAUAUUUAUAAACACAUGUAUAUCUAUAUGUAUAUAGAGAUAAACAUAUAUACAGGAAGUCUUAUUUAACAAUUAUGGCUAAAGAAGUCUGGCAAUAUGGAAAAUGACCUCUUCUUGGUUAGAAUCUUUCUGUUCACAGAUAAAGUGAAUUUGCCCAAAGAAUGGCCAUUUAUUCCAUAAAGGAACAGACUCAGCAAAAGCCUCAUGUUAAAUCUGGUUAAAGAAGGACCCUGCCAGCUUCCACCCACCCCUUGACUGUGGCCUCUGGCUUCCUGUUAGUCUUGUCCUGCUGCAGCUUCCCAACAGGGUGGUCCAGCAGUGGCUGAUGAGACCUUCAGCUACCCUGCCCUCCUUCUCCCCCUGCUGACCCAGAACAAUACUUUGGGAGCAUUGCAAUGUUGGCAGUGGGUUUUGGUUUUGUAUUUGUUCUGGUUUGUCAUCACCAGCAUGUGCCUCCUGGAAGUUUUUCUUGGGAGUAUAACUCUGUCUCCUGUCUGUACAGUCUUGGUCAAAAACCAAUGUCCAAACCUUUCCAAGCUUCAUCUUCUCCAAUGGCUCCCAGCCAUCCACCUCUCUUCUCCCACUUGGACCUGCCUGUUUUGUCUUCUGAAACUUGGAGUCCACGACUACCAAAUUUUGUUAGACUCUCAGAGGCUUCCCUGCACACCGCCAUACUUUCUUCCUUUCACUGAACUUGGCAGGUCCCUGAAGGUAUGAUCCCCAGAGCUUUCUUUGACAUAUAGAUCACUCAUUUUCACUAACUCCUCUAGCCUGUCACCCUGCUGCUGUCCUGGAUUCUGAAAACCUGCUAUUGGAUGUGACCUCAGAAAAAACAAAAGGCUUUCCUAAUGUGUUGUCUAACUUUGAACUUCAAGAUUCCAGCAGCGCUAUCUGCUUUGCCCUUCCUAAAAGAUGUAAAUGCUUUUGCCCUAUAGGACAUGACUUUCUCCACUUCCUCGAGGGUACUUAAAAUUCUUCAAUAUAUAGGAAGAGAUCAUAGACCUGUGUGUGAAGUUGGGAUCUACAUAUGUCCAUGGUUUCUGGAGUUCUCAAACAAUCCUCCCCAGACAUCUCUAUCUAUUAAGUCAAUAUGGUUCUAAAGUGUGUUUAUACUUAAGACUCAACUUUAAACUAAUAAAAAUAAUAUGUAAAUUCCUCUGCUGAGAAAAGUAUUUCUCUUCCCCAAAGUGGAUAAUAUGUAUUAACAGACAUACUGUAUUAAUAAAUUGAUGUAAAGGAACCAGAUGUUGUAUUGAUGAAGAUUGGAAUUUUAGUCAGGAAUUGAAUGAGACAGACCUAGUUUUUUGAGUGCCAACACAGUCCUUGUUAAUUAAAAUGGUUCUUAGUUUGAGUUCUCUCAGCUUGAUAAAAAGAUCUGUUCCAUGUAGUAUAUUUAGGGUGUAAUUUCUUGGAAGCCAGGUGUGUGGGGGGAAGCGGGGGAGAUUGAGGCAGGAGAGAAAGAAUAGUGAGUGAGGAGUAUUUGAAUGUGGGGGUUACCACUAUAGAGAAGUAGGUCAAUCCUGGGGAGACCCUCUGAGGAUGUAGAACCUCCCUGGGGUCAUACUCCCAAAGAUAGAGGAUCUAGGAUGAUUAUCCAUCAGUUUUCAUUUCUUGCAAGCUGAGAGUUGCCAGAGGUGCAUUAAUUCCCCUGAAUUUAUAGUGUGGCCUGAACAGCACCACUUCCAGCUCCCUGCACCUUCAGAAUAGGUGAAGGCAGAGACAAGAGGGAGGCUUUCUGUGUGUAAAGGAACUGUCUCCAGUUGAACCCCAGGAUAAAAUGAGAGGAUGUGGACAGAGCGUUGACAGUUUUUGUUACUGUAACCUGGAAUAUGUUAUGAGAAGAAGAAAAAAAAAAUCCACAAAUAUCUAGUGACUGUUUUCUAAACAUAGCCAAUGUGCAUUGGAAAGGGACUCUGCUUUGCACAGUCCAUAAAAGGUCCACCCUCUCACAGCUGAAUUUCUUGGAGCUCAUGAUUUUCUCUUUUGUGUGUCCUGGGAAGAGAGGCUGGAAAAUUGAGCGAGAGAGGUUUCCUACCUCAUUGUGAAAGUGGUGUACUCCAGCACAGCUAAGAACGAUCCAGAACUAGUUACACAGCCCUACUUUACUUCCAGAAGGCUGGGGAAGGCUGCAAAGAGUACUCCUGGUAGGCAUGACCAUUUGUCAUAUUCCAUCAUUCUGAUCGUGAAUAGAAAUGGUGGUAGAUGUAUAAAAAUGGCAGUGGUUGCAAUACUACAAUAUAAUUGUAGUUGUAAUUUUUGGUGCUUAUAAGGAGAUCAGCACAACCCAAAGGGAUGGAGAGGUCUGACAUUUUCCCCAGAAGAUGUCAUUUUUAUACCUACAGGUGUUCUACAUGAAGGAUAAAAAGUUAUCACUCAAACAAUAGCCAAUUAAGAUGCUUUGAGUGUAAGAUGGAGGAAAUUGCAACUCAAAAUAACUGAAGACCAGGGGUGGAGGUGGAAGGGGUGGAUUAGGAGUCUGGGAUUAAUAUAUGCAUACUGCUAUAUAUAAAAGAAACACCAAGGACCUACUGGAUAGCGCAGGGCACUAUGCUCAUUAUCUGGUGAUUGUGAGUUCCCUUUGUGGCUCAGUGGGAAGGACUCUGACUAGUAUCCAUGAGGGCUCAGGUCCGAUCCCUGGCCUUGCUCAGUGGGUUAAGGAUCUGGUGUUGCCAUGAGCUAUGGUGUAGGUUGCAGACACAGCUUGGAUCUGGUGCUGCUGCGGCUGUGGUGUAGGCCGGCAGCUACAGCUCUAAUUUGACCCCUAGCCUGGGAACCUCCAUACGCUGCGUGUGUGGCCCUAAAAAAAUAAAUAUAUCUUGUAAUGAACUACCAUGGAAAAGAAUCUGAAAAAUAGUAUAUGUAGUGUGUAUGUAUACACUAACGUAUCACUGAAUCAAUUUGCUAUACACCUGAAACUAACACAACAUUGUAAUUUAACUAUACUUCAGUUAAAAAAUUGCUAUAAAAAAAGUAAAAAAAAAAAAAAA